rnacentral:tRNA from 1 species
GGAGAGAUGGCAGAGCGGCUGAAUGCGGCGGUCUUGAAAACCGUUAUUCCGUGCGAGCGGAAUCGUGGGUUCGAAUCCCACUCUCUCCU